rnacentral:rRNA from 1 species
CACCGCGGUUAUACGAGAGGCCCAAGUUGAUAAAUUUUCGGCGUAAAGCGUGGUUAGAUGCUUCACCCACUAAAGCCAAAUGCUCUCACCGCUGUUAUACGCUUUCGAGAGUAAGAAGCCCCACUACGAAAGUAGCUUUAUUUAUAUUGACCCCACGAAAGCUGUGGAA